ACAUGCUCGAAUUAUUAUUAUCAUUUAAGAGGUUUGUAGGCCCUGAAGUAAUGUCCAAUACCCUGAAGUAAUGUCCAAUAUAUCUGGUUCCAGGGCCCUAAUGGGAAGAGGGAGAGGUUGGGUUUUAGUGGGUCUGGAUGUCCCGGUAUCCGGACAUCAAUCCCACACUCCCCGUUGCAAAGGUUUUUGCAAUGGGCGUCUUUUUGAAGAUUUCCCCCUCUCCAAAA
rfam:Asian citrus Psyllid, Diaphorina citri - Florida Strain, whole genome shotgun sequence.